UACGUAGGGUGCAAGCGUUAAUCGGAAUUACUGGGCGUAAAGCGUGCGCAGGCGGUUUUGUAAGUCUGUCGUGAAAUCCCCGGGCUCAACCUGGGAAUUGCGAUGGAGACUGCAAGGCUAGAAUCUGGCAGAGGGGGGUAGAAUUCCACGUGUAGCAGUGAAAUGCGUAGAGAUGUGGAGGAACACCGAUGGCGAAGGCAGCCCCCUGGGUCAAGAUUGACGCUCAUGCACGAAAGCGUGGGGAGCAAACAGGAUACGAAACCCGAGUAGAUCCAGAUACCC
rnacentral:rRNA from 1 species